AAUCAACGCUGGCGGCGUGCCUAACACAUGCAAGUCGAACGCGAAAGCCCCUUCGGGGGCAAGUAGAGUGGCGUCCGGGUGAGUAACACGUAGGUAAUCUACCUUCGGGUGGGGAAUAACCCGCCGAAAGGCGGGCUAAUACCGCAUAAUGCAGCGGCACCUAAUGGUGAUUAGUUGUUAAAGCGGGGGACCGCAAGGCCUCGCGCCUGAAGAGGAGCCUGCGGCAGAUUAGCUAGUUGGUGAGGUAAUGGCUCACCAAGGCUUCGAUCUGUAGCUGGUCUGAGAGGACGGCCAGCCACACUGGCACUGACACACGGGCCAGACUCCUACGGGAGGCAGCAGUGGGGAAUUUUGGGCAAUGGGCGAAAGCCUGACCCAGCAACGCCGCGUGAGGGAGGAAAUCCUUCGGGAUGUAAACCUCACAAGCAAGGGAAGAGAGCGAAGGGCGAAUAACCCCAUCGUCCGACGGUACCUUGCGUAAGCCACGGCUAACUACGUGCCAGCAGCCGAC
rnacentral:rRNA from 1 species